rnacentral:rRNA from 1 species
AGAGUUUGAUCAUGGCUCAGGAUGAACGCUAGCGGCAGGCUUAACACAUGCAAGUCGAGGGGCAGCAUGUCCAGCAAUGGAUGAUGGCGACCGGCGGAAGGGUGCGUAACGCGUGAGCAACAUGCCCUAUACAGGGAGAUACACCAGGGAAACUUGGUCUAAUAUCCCAUAGCAUUCAUUGAAGGCAUCUUUAAUGAAUUAAAGCUUCGGUGGUAUAGGAUUGGCUCGCGUGACAUUAGCCAGAUGGUGAGGUAACGGCUCACCAUAGCAAUGAUGUCUAGGGGUUUUGAGAGGAAGGCCCCCCACACUGGGACUGAGACACGGCCCAGACUCCUACGGGAGGCAGCAGUGAGGAAUAUUGGACAAUGGAUGGAAAUCUGAUCCAGCCAUGCCGCGUGCAGGAAGACGGCCUUAUGGGUUGUAAACUGCUUUUAUACGGGAGCAAUAAGGGUUACGAGUAAUCCGAUGAGAGUACUGUAUGAAUAAGGAUCGGCUAACUCCGUGCCAGCAGCCGCGGUAAUACGGAGGAUCCGAGCGUUAUCCGGAAUUAUUGGGUUUAAAGGGUGCGUAGGCGGCCAUUUAAGUCAGCGGUGAAAUUUUGCAGCUUAACUGUAACAGUGCCGUUGAUACUGUUUGGCUAGGAUUUGGUUGUAGUGUGCGGAAUGUGUGGUGUAGCGGUGAAAUGCUUAGAUAUCACACAGAACACCGAUUGCGAAGGCAGCACACUAAGUCAUUAUUGACGCUGAGGCACGAAAGUGUGGGGAUCAAACAGGAUUAGAUACCCUGGUAGUCCACGCUGUAAACGAUGAGUGCUAGGUGUUGGGGGUCGAACCUCAGUGCCGCAGUAAACGCAUUAAGCACUCCGCCUGGGGAGUACGGUCGCAAGACUGAAACUCAAAUGAAUUGACGG